GGCGGCAUGCUUACACAUGCAAGUCGAACGGCAGCACGGGAGUAAUCCUGGUGGCGAGUGGCGAACGGGUGAGUAAUACAUCGGAACGUGUCCUGUAGUGGGGGAUAGCCCGGCGAAAGCCGGAUUAAUACCGCAUACGCUCUACGGAGGAAAGGGGGGGAUCUUAGGACCUCUCGCUACAGGGGCGGCCGAUGGCGGAUUAGCUAGUUNGUGGGGUAAAGGCCUACCAAGGCGACNAUCUGUAGCUGGUCUGAGAGGACGACCAGCCACACUGGGACUGAGACACGGCCCAGACUCCUACGGGAGGCAGCAGUGGGGAAUUUUGGACAAUGGGGGCAACCCUGAUCCAGCAAUGCCGCGUGUGUGAAGAAGGCUUCGGGUUGUAAAGCACUUUUGUCCGGAAAGAAAUCUUCUGCCCUAAUAC
rnacentral:rRNA from 1 species